AAGCCAGACUCCUACGGGAGGCAGCAGUGGGGGAUAUUGCACAAUGGGGGGAACCCUGAUGCAGCGACGCCGCGUGGGUGAAGGAGCGUUUCGGCGCGUAAAGCCCUAUCGGCAGGGAAGAAGGAGGACGGUACCUGACUAAGAAGCCCCGGCUAACUACGUGCCAGCAGCCGCGGUAAUACGUAGGGGGCAAGCGUUAUCCGGAUUUACUGGGCGUAAAGGGGGCGCAGACGGCAGCGCAAGCCAGGAGUGAAAGCCCGGGGCCCAACCCCGGGACUGCUCUUGGAACUGCGCGGCUGGAGUGCAGGAGGGGCAGGCGGAAUUCCUGGUGUAGCGGUGAAAUGCGUAGAUAUCAGGAGGAACACCGGUGGCGAAGGCGGCCUGCUGGACUGCAACUGACGUUGAGGCCCGAAAGCGUGGGGAGCAAACAGGAUUAGAUACCCCAGUAUG
rnacentral:rRNA from 1 species